AUUGAACGCUGGCGGCAUGCCUUACACAUGCAAGUCGAACGGCAGCACGGGAGCAAUCCUGGUGGCGAGUGGCGAACGGGUGAGUAAUAUAUCGGAACGUGCCCGGUCGUGGGGGAUAACGUAGCGAAAGCUACGCUAAUACCGCAUACGAUCUACGGAUGAAAGCGGGGGAUCGCAAGACCUCGCGCGAUUGGAGCGGCCGAUAUCAGAUUAGGUAGUUGGUGAGGUAAAGGCUCACCAAGCCGACGAUCUGUAGCUGGUCUGAGAGGACGACCAGCCACACUGGGACUGAGACACGGCCCAGACUCCUACGGGAGGCAGCAGUGGGGAAUUUUGGACAAUGGGCGCAAGCCUGAUCCAGCAAUGCCGCGUGCAGGAUGAAGGCCUUCGG
rnacentral:rRNA from 1 species